CUACGGGUUGCACCAGUGAGGAAUAUUGCACAAUGGAGGAAACUCUGAUGCAGCAACGCCGCGUGGAGGAUGACGCAUUUCGGUGUGUAAACUCCUUUUAUAUGUCAAGAAAAUGACGGUAGCAUAUGAAUAAGCACCGGCUAACUCCGUGCCAGCAGCCGCGGCAAUACGGAGGGUGCAAGCGUUACUCGGAAUCACUGGGCGUAAAGGACGCGUAGGCGGGAUAUCAAGUCAGGUGUGAAAUCCUACAGCUUAACUGUAGAACUGCACUUGAAACUGGUAACCUAGAGUAUGGGAGGGGGAGAUGGAAUUAGUGGUGUAGGGGUAAAAUCCGUAGAUAUCACUAGGAAUACCUAAAGCGAAGGCGAUCUCCUGGAACAUUACUGACGCUAAGGCGUGAAAGCGUGGGGAGCAAACAGGAUUAGAUACCCUUGUAGUC
rnacentral:rRNA from 1 species